UGGGCGUAAGGGCUCGCAGGCGGUUUCUUAAGUCUGAUGUGAAAGCCCCCGGCUCAACCGGGGAGGGUCAUUGGAAACUGGGAAACUUGAGUGCAGAAGAGGAGAGUGGAAUUCCACGUGUAGCGGUGAAAUGCGUAGAGAUGUGGAGGAACACCAGUGGCGAAGGCGACUCUCUGGUCUGUAACUGACGCUGAGGAGCGAAAGCGUGGGGAGCGAACAGGAUUAGAUACCCUGGUAGUCCACGCCGUAAACGAUGAGUGCUAAGUGUUAGGGGGUUUCCGCCCCUUAGUGCUGCAGCUAACGCAUUAAGCACUCCGCCUGGGGAGUACGGUCGCAAGACUGAAACUCAAAGGAAUUGACGGGGGCCCGCACAAGCGGUGGAGCAUGUGGUUUAAUUCGAAGCAACGCGAAGAACCUUACCAGGUCUUGACAUCCUCUGACAACCCUAGAGAUAGGGCUUUCCCUUCGGGGACAGAGUGACAGGUGGUGCAUGGUUGUCGUCAGCUCGUGUCGUGAGAUGUUGGGUUAAGUCCCGCAACGAGCGCAACCCUUGAUCUUAGUUGCCAGCAUUCAGUUGGGCACUCUAAGGUGACUGCCGGUGACAAACCGGAGGAAGGUGGGGAUGACGUCAAAUCAUCAUGCCCCUUAUGACCUGGGC
rnacentral:rRNA from 1 species